rnacentral:rRNA from 1 species
GACGUACACAGUACUUAUGAAGACGCCUGCCCAGUGACACAUGUUUAACGGCCGCCGUACCCUAACCGUGCAAAGGUAGCAUAAUCACUUGUUCCUUAAAUAGGGACCUGUAUGAAUGGCUCCACGAGGGUUCAGCUGUCUCUUACUUUUAACCAAUGAAAUUGACCUGCCCGUAAAAAGGCGGGCAUGACACACCAAGACGAAAAGAACCUAUGGAGAGAC